GACGAACGCUGGCGGCGUGCUUAACACAUGCAAGUCGAACGGAAAGGCCCUGCUUGCAGGGUACUCGAGUGGCGAACGGGUGAGUAACACGUGGGUGAUCUGCCCUGCACUUCGGGAUAAGCCUGGGAAACUGGGUCUAAUACCGGAUAGGAGCCAUUUUUAGUGUGAUGGUUGGAAAGUUUUUUCGGUGUAGGAUGAGCUCGCGGCCUAUCAGCUUGUUGGUGGGGUAAUGGCCUACCAAGGCGGCGGCGGGUAGCCGGCCUGGGAGGGUGGACGGCCACAUUGGGGCUGAGAUACGGCCCAGACUCCGACGGGGGGCAGAAGGGAGGAAGAUUGCACGAUGGGCGCAGGCCUGAUGCAGCGACGCCGCGGGGGGGAUGACGGCCUUCGGGUUGUAAACACGGUUCGCUAGGGACGAAGCUUUUUGUGACGGUACCUAGAUAAGAAGCACCGGCUAACUACGUG
rnacentral:rRNA from 1 species